UUUCCCAUCUUUUUUUUUGUGCAAUGAAAAUAAAUAUUCUUUAUUAGGCAGGAGCCAGAUGUUCAAAGAAUUUCAUGAUUUAGACAUGUCCAGGUAUUAGGGUCUGGGGACCAAGGGACUUUCCCUGGAAAGCAAGAAAGGGAGCUCAAUGGUAUCUGUGGGCCAGGGCACUGGCCACACCAGCCACCACCUUCUGAAAGGCAGCCUGCACCUGGGGGUUGAAA